rnacentral:sRNA from 1 species
UGAUGUCUUUGGCUAAAGCUUCUACACGAGGUUUUGCGCCUGCUAAGGCUUCAAUUCGUGACCAUUUUGAUUUUAAACGCUGUUUUACAUCCUCUUCUUGAUCCUCUGUAAUGUCAUUAUAUGCUUCGUCUAAGUCUAAAUUUUGAGGUAAAUUUAAUGGAAUUAUGCGACUUUCAUAGUAAAUUUUCACCGUACUUCCAUCAGCUACGGCUUGUGUCAUAUCAUAAACAUCGAU